UUCCCAAAUCUUAUAGAUCUUCCAGCAAAUUAAAAUGGGGUCUGAAGACCUAGAAAUAGUUAAAAGACACGCAACUGACAAGCUCUUGCUCUUAAAAUAACAUGCAUUUCCUGCAGCAGUCAACUAUUUGUUACAUACAUCAAGGAAAUUCUGCUCCUAGCAACUAACAGAAUGAACACAACUGACUGUGCUGUGUGAAACCCAGCACACUGCUGAAAAUAGCAGACUCUGAAUGUUCCAAACUGGUGUUUUGAACUGAAACUUUCAAUGGUAUGGAGGAACAACUGAAAUGGGAAGGAGGCUGUACAUAAUCCCACAGUGAAUCCCAAUACAAGUUCACAUUAUUGUGGCUUUUACAUAUGAACACAGACAUAGAGGUAGAAGUAGAACCUCUGUGGUCCAGGAGUCUCUUAAGAACUGAACUUAAAACUGCAGAACCCAGGGCUGCAUCACUCCUGGCCUGCUACGUAAUGGCAUAAUGUGCAGUGAACGAAUGGACCAAGGACCAUGUGGAUGUCCUACAGAUAUCUACAAUCAGGACUUGAGCCACAAACGCUGUAGAGGACGCAUGUGCUCAUGUGGAGUGGGCCGUCAUGUGAGGCGGGUCUUUGCCUGCUAACACGUAACACUCCUUUAUACAGGAUGAGACCCAGGAAGAUAGCCUCUGGGCUGACACUGGCAACCCUCUCAUCCUUUCCGCAAAUGAAAUAAAAAGAUGGGACGACUUGCGGAAGUAUCUGGUUCUGUCUAUAUAGAAGGCUAAUGCUUUCUUGGUAUCAAGAGAGUGGAGGGCUUGUUCCCUAGAGGACUUAUGGGUAAAACACAGGCAGGUAUAUGUCUUGGGACAUAUGGAAGGUGGACAUUACCUUCAGUAGAAAGACUGGGUGAGUACGUAAACUCACCCUAUCUGCUGAAAAGAGCAAGUAAAGGAGCUC